rnacentral:rRNA from 1 species
AUUGAACGCUGGCGGCAUGCUUUACACAUGCAAGUCGAACGGUAACAGGCCGCAAGGUGCUGACGAGUGGCGCACGGGUGAGUAAUGCAUCGGAACGUGCCCAGUCGUGGGGGAUAACUACUCGAAAGAGUAGCUAAUACCGCAUACGAUCUAUGGAUGAAAGCGGGGGACCGUAAGGCCUCGCGCGAUUGGAGCGGCCGAUGUCAGAUUAGGUAGUUGGUGGGGUAAAGGCUCACCAAGCCAACGAUCUGUAGCUGGUCUGAGAGGACGACCAGCCACACUGGGACUGAGACACGGCCCAGACUCCUACGGGAGGCAGCAGUGGGGAAUUUUGGACAAUGGGCGCAAGCCUGAUCCAGCAAUGCCGCGUGCAGGAAGAAGGCCUUCGGGUUGUAAACUGCUUUUGUACGGAACGAAACGGCUCUGGUUAAUACCCGGGGCUAAUGACGGUACCGAAAGAAUAAGCACCGGCUAACUACGUG